rnacentral:rRNA from 1 species
UACAGAGGGUGCGAGCGUUAAUCGGAAUUACUGGGCGUAAAGCGCACGUAAGCGGCUUGGUAUGUCGGGUGUGAAAUCCCCGGGCUCAACCUGGGAACUGCAUCCGAAACUGCCUUGCUCGAGUAUGGGAGAGGGAAGUGGAAUUUCCGGUGUAGCGGUGAAAUGCGUAGAUAUCGGAAGGAACAUCAGUGGCGAAGGCGACUUCCUGGACCAAUACUGACGCUCAGGUGCGAAAGCGUGGGGAGCAAACAGG